rnacentral:lncRNA from 1 species
CAGGCAGGGCAGCAGAGGGACCGGCUGCCUCUCUUGCUCCUUCCUGCUUGGCCUCUGCAGGAACAUUCUGCAGUUAGCUUCUUAGCAGGGCUAAGAAAGGUGGCCUGAGCUUUCUCCUGAAGUGGACCUGUCUCUCCCUGGGUCUUUCUGACAAAGAAAAUCCAAUCAAUUUGCCCUCAAUCCUAUGAUGUGAGGAGCUGUGGGUGGUUUGGAG